rnacentral:rRNA from 1 species
UUGAGACGGGGAUAACCCCGGGAAACUGGGUAUAAUACCCGAUAGAUCUCGAUUGCUGGAAUGCAUCGAGCUUGAAAGCUCCGGCGCCUAAGGAUGGGUCUGCGGCCUAUCAGGUAGUAGUGGGUGUAGCGUACCUACUAGCCUACGACGGGUACGGGUUGUGAGAGCAAGAGCCCGGAGAUGGAUUCUGAGACACGAAUCCAGGCCCUACGGGGUGCAGCAGGCGCGAAAACUUUACAAUGCUGGCAACAGCGAUAAGGGGACCUCGAGUGCCAGGUUACAAAUCUGGCUGUCGUGAUGCCUAAAAAGCAUUGCAUAGCAAGGGCCGGGCAAGACCGGUGCCAGCCGCCGCGGUAACACCGGCGGCUCGAGUGGUAACCGUUAUUAUUGGGUCUAAAGGGUCUGUAGCCGGCCGGAUAAGUCUCUUGGGAAAUCUGGCAGCUUAACUGUCAGGCUUUCAGGAGAUACUGUCUGGCUCGAGGCCGGGAGAGGUGAGAGGUACUUCAGGGGUAGGGGUGAAAUCUUGUAAUCCUUGAAGGACCACCAGUGGCGAAGGCGUCUCACCAGAACGGACCUGACGGCAAGGGACGAAAGCUAGGGGCACGAACCGGAUUAGAUACCCGGGUAGUCCUAGCCGUAAACGAUACUCGCUAGGUGUCGGCAACGGUGCGACCGUUGUCGGUGUCGUAGGGAAGCCGUGAAGCGAGCCACCUGGGAAGUACGGCCGCAAGGCUGAAACUU